UACGGGGGGAGCAAGCGUUGUUCGGAUUUACUGGGCGUAAAGGGCGCGUAGGCGGUCGUGACAAGUCACUUGUGAAAUCUCCGGGCUUAACUCGGAACGGUCAAGUGAUACUGUCGGACUAGAGUACAGAAGGGGCAACUGGAAUUCUCGGUGUAGCGGUGAAAUGCGUAGAUAUCGAGAGGAACACCUGCGGCGAAGGCGGGUUGCUGGGCUGAUACUGACGCUGAGGCGCGAAAG
rnacentral:rRNA from 1 species